rnacentral:lncRNA from 1 species
UUCAACAGAGAAGCUAAAUAUUGUGGAGAAUAGAGAAUUCAUAAAAUAAAAACGAACAGAUCUAUAAUUUUGUUGAACAAAUCAAUGUACCGCAUGAACAACAAUUUGCUCCGGGUUCGAAUCCUGCUGGUGGCGAAUUUUUCUCUAUUUUUACUAAAUACGUCUGUUCAUUACUUAUGUUGAUCUGUUCGUAAAAUAUAUAGAUUUGUUCAUGAUGAAUAAAAAGAUAAUUCUCUGUUGAACUCAACCCUAUAUAUAUAUAUAGGGAGAGGUUCAAGAAAGAACCAUAAAUAAAAAAAGAACGGAGAACCAUUUUCAGCCAUUCGAUCAUCAAGAUCUACGGUGGAUGUAUCAUCUUGUUGGAUGAAUGCAGAUCCUGGGUUCGAAUCCUGAAGGGAGCAAUUUUUUUUAUUUUUUUGAGUGCAUUAAUUUUAACAGCGAAUGUAUUAACUUUUACAGUGAAUGCAUUAGAUUUGAUGGUUCUCACGUUCUCACAAAUAAUGUAGUUCUCUCUAGAACCACACCAUAUAUAUAUAUAU